rnacentral:lncRNA from 1 species
CGAAUCUGAGCCUUGAUUCCGUGAGGACAAUGACGCAAGUGCCCAAGGGGUGAUGAAUCCAGGAAAACGAGACAAGCGGCCGGCGACCCCCAACACCAUCCAAGGAUCGGGACGAGUGCCGCCCGCGUCCCCUCGGCGGGCGUCCAUGUGGGGAAAGAAGCCACGGGUUCCUCUGCUUGUGAGCACAAGUCCACGUCACCUGCAGUGGCCAGGCUGCCAACGGCCCCUACCAGGUGAGACGGAGCCGGGGCCACACUGGCCGCUCCGAAGCCGAGGCGCGAAGCCGUCAGCCGCGCCUGGAGAUCCUCCCGGGCGGAGGCGGGAGCCCAGCUGCACCUAAUCCUCCCCACCUCCCCUUCCAAGGUCUAAGUCAGCAACAGUGGCAUAGGAAGCAGGUGCUGGGCUCCAGGAGGAGGAGCGGGGGUGGGGAAGCAGCGGGAUGGGUCCUGGGGUGGAGGGAAGAGGAGUCACACCAGGGUCUCCUCCUCUUCCUGGAGAGUAACCCACCACGGGACCAUGCAGCCCAGAACGUUCACGGUGACGGGGAGCAGAGCGAGGGCUCAUGUCAAGGGAGGGAGCUUUGGCCAAAGGGACGCCGCCCUCACCCCCGCUGGCACGAGAAGCUUCUCGGUGUCCAGCAAGCUGGGCACGGGCAUCAGGGACGGAAAGACUUGCAGACUCGAAGCCAGACCACAAGCAGCAGCAGGCUGCAGGGUCUGGGAGGCCGGCGCGUUGACACCAACACUGCCUGGGACAGCCCCCACCCCGAAACAGGAACCCAGAAAGUAGGGGGCGGGAAGGAGGCAGGAGCCCCACCCGGAAGGAGCCUUCUCGGCCCACUUCCCUUCCCCUGCCACGGGGCUGGCACAUUACAGCACACCGUCCCCGCCUCCCUUGGAGGGAGGGGCCAUUGGCAUCCUCCUGGCGGAACAGGUGCAGGCAGAAACCCCUGGAGAAUGAGUCGCUUCAAAUCAAGAGGCUCUGGGAUGAGGCGCUGCUCCC